CACUCACCUGCCGAAGCGACCAGCCCUGAAAAUGGAUGGCGCUGAAGCGUCGGGCCCACACCCGGCCGUCAACGCUAACGUGGGCUUCGGCCCUCGGCUGGCGCUGACGAGUAGGAGGGCGCGGCGGUGGCGAAGAACGGACAGGGCGCCAGCCGGCCCGGAGCCGCCGCCGGUGCAGAUCUUGGUGGUAGUAGCAAAUACUCUGAGAAGGACCUUGAGGGCUGAAGCGGAGAAGGGCUUCUUGUGAACAGCCGUUGCACAAGAGUUAGUCGAUCCUAAGGCCUAGGAGAAAUCCGAAGCGGAUGGCGAGCGAUUUUGGCAUGUUGCCGCCUCAUCCGGCCGAAAGGGAAUCCGGUUCAAAUUCCGGUACCCGGUUGCGAGACCGCAGCGAGUGGGCGCUCCUCGCCUUACGGGCGGUGGCGGCGUACCCGCGAGCCGCUCGAUGGGGCAACCCAAACACGUCGGGAGAAGCCGACGGGAGGUCCAGGAAGAGUUUUCUCUUCUCUCUAAGCAUUCGUGUGCCCUGGAAUCUUGUAAGAGGGAGAUAGGGUAUGGAAUGCGAAGAGCACCGAGCUUGCCGGCGGUGUCUGGAUCGUCCUCUCGGACCAUGAAAAUCCUGACCAGAGUGACGCGGUGAAUCGCACCGGCUCGUACCCAUGACCGCAGCCGGUCUCCAAGGUCCAAAGCCUCUAGUCGAUAGAAUAAUGUGGGUAAGGGAAGUCGG
rnacentral:rRNA from 1 species